rnacentral:rRNA from 1 species
CAGCCGCCACGGUAAUACGUAGGUGGCAAGCGUUGUCCGGAAUUAUUGGGCGUAAAGGGCUCGCAGGCGGUUUCUUAAGUCUGAUGUGAAAGCCCCCGGCUCAACCGGGGAGGGUCAUUGGAAACUGGGGAACUUGAGUGCAGAAGAGGAGAGUGGAAUUCCACGUGUAGCGGUGAAAUGCGUAGAGAUGUGGAGGAACACCAGUGGCGAAGGCGACUCUCUGGUCUGUAACUGACGCUGAGGAGCGAAAGCGUGGGGAGCGAACAGGAUUAGAUACCCGUGUAGUCCCUGUCUCUUAUAC